UUAUCAAUCUCAUCAUUUAUUGAUUGUAAAAGAAAUAAUGAAACAAAGCAAAAAUCAUAUGACAUGUAUAGAUUCCAUGACAAAAUAUUACAAUCAUAAACAAAUAACAAAUCAAUUGAUAUUAGUACAUUCGUAAACAAAAGUUUACAGCAUAAACAAAUAACAAAUUAAUUGAAUUUAGUACAUUCAUUAAAAAAAAAUCCUUUAAAUCAUAAACGAACAAAUUUAAUCAAAAAUCUGAUGUUUCUAAACAACUAGUGUUGGAAAAAACCCACAAUAAGAUCGUUUCAUCCAUAACAGGUUAAAAUUGGAGGAGUAUUUGCAGAGAAAUUUUUCAGCAUGCAUGCUUUCAACAGGUCCGAAUGAACAACAAAAUACAGCAUGAAUGACCAUUUUAACAUAUUAAAUUUCAAAUUCCUAAAUUACAUUAAACAAGAUGAUAGGAGUCUUGUAUAGAAUUUCAGCAAGUUUAAAUUUGUAAAUAAAUGUACUUAUUUCAGACUGCAAAAUGGAUUUAGGCAUCUCCUCACAUAAAUGUUUUGUCAGAAACUUCUCAUUUUCUUGUCAAAGUUUUAAUAAAAAUACUUGUUGAAAAACAAAACUACUCAAUACAAAAUUAUCAAGAAACAGUUUAAAAAACAUUGAAUAUGUACACAAAAUUACAUUGGUUAUAAAUCAUUUUAGUAUAAAUCAAAAUUUAUUAAUGCUAAAAUGUCACUGAAUUGGUAACACAAUAUAAAGCUAAACACACAUUUUUUGGUUGUAUGAUUUGUAAGCUACUAUUGCUACAAUUGCAUUACAGCCGAUCAACUUGAGUGUGUAUAAAGAAAAAUAAGUUUGUUUGUUUAUUAGGUGGGUUAUAAACUCAUUAAAAGAGUAUCAAUUGUUAAUUAUAGAAAAAUAUCAACUUUUUUGCAUUCUGCACAUAACUAUUGAAAAACUUAUUAAACCUCACCCUUUCCAAAUGUCUAAGCUUCAUACAAAAAGUGCUGACCUAUUACACGAAAGUGUUUAUCAGAAAUACUGUGGGUUCAUUUAUUUUCGUGGAUUAAGGAAAUUUUGCAUGUUUUUUUUUAUAUUUGAUUUCGUCAGUUUUGUUGAAGACUGCAUACAAAAUGUACAAGCCUAUUGGGACUCUGUCGUUUUUUGAACAUUUAAUUUCGUGUUUCACCUCUACCCGUGAAAAUUGAGGGGGUAGGAGGGGUCCUGAUUCCAAAAUCCCGAACUUAAAAACAUGAAAUCCUGACAUCCCUGUCCCCCCCCCCCCUCCAAUCUGGUAUCCAUUGAAUAUUAAUGAAUCCAAAGUAAGCAUUAUGAAAAUAUAUCAAUUCCUACCUUAAAAUAGAUAUAAGAUAUAUAUUUGUAGCUGUGAAAGAAUUUCAUAGUUAGACUAAUGAACAAUCAAACUGUUUGAACUUUUAUACUAUUACACACUCUUGAAGACUAGCUGUAACUUAUCUAAGAUUCCUGUCCCCUAUAAAGCAAUAACAAUUAUCAGUUUAAUAAACGCACCUAAUUUCUAAAUCUACAAUGUACAGGCAUGCUGAAUUUGCAACUCAAAUCUUCACUGACUAUAUAUACAGACAUGACUGCAGUUUAUAACACAAUCAGUUUAACACCAGUGAUAUACAUAUGUAUAUACAGUAAUGACAAUAAAUAAAGAUAUGAUUGCACAUCAUUCAUCUGAACAACAUUGUGUAAUAACAAUAUUACAUUGUGUAAUGACAAUAUCAUAUUGUGUAAUAACAAUAUUAUAUUG
rnacentral:lncRNA from 1 species